GUUCCUGGUCUCCUCCUGACGCGGACAACUGGCCAGAGUGCCCCGACCGGUUGAUACCCAAGGACCAGUAUUACUGCGGUGUCCUCUAUUUCACCGGGAGUGAUAUUUUCAAUAAGAAUAUGCGAGCUCAUGCCCUAGAAAAAGGCUUCACAAUCAAUGAAUACACAAUCCGUCCCUUGGGUGUCACUGGCGUUGCCGGGGAGCCCCUGCCC